rnacentral:rRNA from 1 species
GUGCUAACGUCCGUCGUGAAGAGGGAAACAACCCAGACCGCCAGCUAAGGUCCCAAAGUCAUGGUUAAGUGGGAAACGAUGUGGGAAGGCCCAGACAGCCAGGAUGUUGGCUUAGAAGCAGCCAUCAUUUAAAGAAAGCGUAAUAGCUCACUGGUCGAGUCGGCCUGCGCGGAAGAUGUAACGGGGCUAAACCAUGCACCGAAGCUGCGGCAGCGACGCUGAUGCGUUGUUGGGUAGGGGAGCGUUCUGUAAGCCUGUGAAGGUGGCCUGUGAGGGUUGCUGGAGGUAUCAGAAGUGCGAAUGCUGACAUAAGUAACGAUAAAGCGGGUGAAAAGCCCGCUCGCCGGAAGACCAAGGGUUCCUGUCCAACGUUAAUCGGGGCAGGGUGAGUCGACCCCUAAGGCGAGGCCGAAAGGCGUAGUCGAUGGGAAACGGGUUAAUAUUCCCGUACUUGGUGUUACUGCGAAGGGGGGACGGAGAAGGCUAUGUUGGCCGGGCGACGGUUGUCCCGGUUUAAGCGUGUAGGUGUGUGUUCCAGGUAAAUCCGGUUCACUUUAACACUGAGGCGUGAUGACGAGGCACUACGGUGCUGAAGCAACAAAUGCCCUGCUUCCAGGAAAAGCCUCUAAGCAUCAGGUAACAUCAAAUCGUACCCCAAACCGACACAGGUGGUCAGGUAGAGAAUACCAAGGCGCUUGAGAGAACUCGGGUGAAGGAACUAGGCAAAAUGGUGCCGUAACUUCGGGAGAAGGCACGCUGACAC